GUGUCAGCCGCCGCGGUAAUACGUAGGUCCCGAGCGUUGCGCGGAGUCACUGGGCGUAAAGCGUCCGCAGCCGGUUGGGUAAGCGGGAUGUCAAAGCCCGCCGCUUAACGGCGGAACGGCAUCCUGAACUGCCCAACUUGAGGCACGCCCGGGCAGGCGGAAUUCCCGGGGUAGCGGUGAAAUGCGUAGAUCUCGGGAGGAACGCCGAAGGGGAAGCCAGCCUGCUGGGGCUGUCCUGACGGGCAGGGACGAAAGCCAGGGGAGCGAACCGGAUUAGAUACCCGGGUAGUCCUGGCUGUAAACCAGGGGCGCUAGGGCUUGUCCCUCUGGGGCAGGCUCGCAGCUAACGCGUUAAGCGCCCCGCCUGGGGAGUACGGGCGCAAGCCUGAAACUUAAAUGAAUUGACGGGG
rnacentral:rRNA from 1 species